AUUGAACGCUGGCGGCAUGCCUAACACAUGCAAGUCGAACGAGUGGCGGACUGGCGAGUAAGGUCUGGGCAACUGCCUGAUGGAGGGGGAUAACUACGGGAACCGGUAGCUAAUGCUGCUAACCAUCAGAUGUGCCCUGGUGGGAUUAGCGAGGUGGUGGGGUAACGGCUCACCAAGGCGACGAUCCCUAGCUGGUCUGAGAGGAUGACCAGCCACACUGGAACUGAGACACGGUCCAGACUCCUACGGGAGGCAGCAGUGGGGAAUCUUGCGCAAUGGGCGAAAGCCUGAUGCAGCAAUGCCGCGUGUAUGAAGAAGGUCUUCGGGUUGUAAAGUACUUUCAGCGGGGAGGCGUUACCCGAACAAGAAGCAACGGCUAACUCCGUGCCAGCAGCCGCGGUAAUAC
rnacentral:rRNA from 1 species